rnacentral:rRNA from 1 species
AGCGAACGCUGGCGGCAGGCCUAACACAUGCAAGUCGAACGGACCCUUCGGGGUUAGUGGCGGACGGGUGAGUAACACGUGGGAACGUGCCUUUAGGUUCGGAAUAGCUCCUGGAAACGGGUGGUAAUGCCGAAUGUGCCCUUCGGGGGACAGAUUUAUCGCCUUUAGAGCGGCCCGCGUCAGAUUAGCUAGUUGGUGAGGUAAUGGCUCACCAAGGCGACGAUCAGUAGCUGGUCUGAGAGGAUGACCAGCCACAUUGGGACAGAGACACGGCCCAAACUCCUACGGGAGGCAGCAGUGGGGAAUCUUGCGCAAUGGGCGAAAGCCUGACGCAGCCAUGCCGCGUGAAUGAUGAAGGUCUUAGGAUUGUAAAAUUCUUUCACCGGGGACGAUAAUGACGGUACCCGGAGAAGAAGCCCCGGCUAACUUCGUGCCAGCCGCCGCAGUAACAC